GGCGCGGCGGGGCCGGGGCCCGGGCCGGCGCGGGCAAUCGCCCGAGCGCGGAGGCAGGAGGCGCUCGGCAGCGCGGGGGCGCGGGAGGGCUGCACGCUGCUUCCCCGCCAGUGGGUGGUCCUGCAUCUCCCCGGGCUCCCCGCGCCGCUCUGCUCGUGCGAUCAAUAAAUAAGGAGAAAAUAAAUAAAUAACCGCGCGCACGCCCCGCCACGCAGGUUAUGAAAGGCGUCUCCUGCCUUUCUCUCGACUUGACCUUUCUCCGCCCCCGCCCCCUUGGGCUCCUCUCGCUCCACCCCAGCCACCCACCAGCCCCGGCGCAAAAUGUCACCGAGGGAGAGCAUCCAGGUGGAUCUGCCGGGGAAGAGAGAGAGCCUCGAUGAACAAAGGGAAGCUUCACGCACUCGGCUGCGGUGGUUUGAUUACUAUUGUAACUCUCCAAAAGACUCAUAGAAAAUCAAGCUGAUUUACUACUAAGAUGUACAGUGGAAAAAAAAUUACCUUAACAAUGAGACAAAUGAUCCACAUUGCUAUAAUUGUGUAAGAAGUGCUUUCUCAAUGUGCUUACUAUACUUGAUCCUCAAAAAGGCCUUAUGAGAACUCCCACUGACUUUAAAAAGAGUUCCAUGUACAUGGAUUUGGGGAGAGCAACCUGCUUGGAAUGCUUGUUAAGAUCGGCUGAACUACAGUGAAGCUCACAGCCAGCCCGCCCCGCUCAUCAUCGGUUCAUGGCAUCAAAGUAGAUUUACAGUCCUCUAAACCAAAAGAUUACCAGAUAUAAAAGGAAACUUCUAACCUGAAAAUGAGAGAACCAUCACUAACAACAACAAGAAAAUAAAUAUUUAACUUAGAAGAAGGAGAGACGGUUUUGGAAAAAAAAGACCUAUUAUCAUCAUUAACCUCAAAGAGGCAAGAAAAACAUGAUUGUUACCAUGCAACAAGAACAAGACUGUACAUGUGUCUAAAAAGCUGCAUUCCAGAACAUAAAAUAGCUCUUGGAAAUGAAAAAUAUGUUAGCAAGUCCUGAUUGAAAUGUGGGAAAUAAGGUUGAACAAAUUUCCAGAAAAGAACAAAAAUGCGAUGAGAUCAAAAUAAGGAGAACUUAUAACACAAUUAAAGACCAGCCCACGACAUCUAAUAAACAAAUCAAGAGGUGCAGAGAGCACAAAGAACAGAGGAAGAAAUGGUCAAUGAAAUGUUUCUUUUAAAAGUCCUAAAACUAAAGGACAGAAGUUUCCAGACAGAAAGGUUGUGUCUACACAGUGACUAACAAAAUAGAUGAUACAAACUCAGAAAGACACAUCAUCACUUUAUUACAAAAUUUGAGAAUACAAGGAACCAAAAGAAAAUUGUGCAAGUUUCCAGAAAGAGAGAGGAAAACAUACAACACAUACACACAAAGUCUUCAAUGAAGCCUGGCUUCAGACUGCUCGACUGCAUCAAGAGAAUGGAAGGCAAGAAAAGAAAUGUCCUUAAAAUUUAAAAGGAUAAUUCUUCCCAAUUAGAACUGUCUUUCAGCCAUGUGCAAGGAUAGGGUGUGUGGAGGUCGGAUGAAGGAAGUUUUACAAAUCCAAGAUCUCAAAAAUUCCACCUUUUACAUUACUAGUCUAAAGAGGCUAUUGGAGAGGGUGCUUCACCAAAAUCGGGGAGCACAAGAACUAGUUAGAAGGUUAGAAGGCCCAGGGGAGGCUGCUUCAGGAAGGUCAAAUUUAUGAAAUUCAUACGUUUCUGAAUGUCUCGAUAGGAUGUUUCAAGGUUAGCAAAGAGUUUGGGGUUAAAAUAAUACAACUGCAUAAAAAACUAAGCAAAAACAUGAGCAAAAUUUAUGGUUUUUAAUUCCAGGAAAAGUGAAGAAUUUUUCAGGAAAAUAAAGUAAAAAAUAAUUUUAGAGCUCACUAUGAAUAUGUUUACAUGCCCUAGCAAACUAAUAAAUACCUGAAAUUGGACAAUCAAGUCACAAUACAAGAAUGUUCUGUAGAGAAAAGAAGAGAAAUUCUAAAACAGAGGGGAUAAUUGAAGAAACUGGUUGUGGGAACUAUUAUUGUUCACAGCCAACUUUGUAUAACUGACAUUAAAUAGGAACAUGAAUAAUUUUGACAAUAAUUAAAACUAAACCUUAGAAAUAUAGACUUUUCUUCACUGGUUAAACAAAUGUAAUAUGUAAAGCAAACAAUUCUUUUUUCUGACUUUAUUCUUGGAAGUCUAGGAUGCUCUGAAUUGGUGAGCCCCCCAGAAAACUAAAUUCCACUCUAGACAUUAUAUUGCAUUGUAUUAGAUGAAAAACAUCAUAAAAAGCUAGUCUGAACUCUCUAAAAAUACAUGUAGAUUAACCAAAGUUUUACCAAAAUAUAAACUGUUAUUCUUACUGCUAUUAUCAUUAUACUUCUAUAUUCAGGUUGAAGAAGAAAAAGUUCACUGAUUGUGUGGGAUGUUUUGCUUUUGUUCCUCCAGAUACGCAUUUCAUCUUCUCUGCCUGCUCUCUGCCCUCGCAAACAGUGCUUUAUAGAUGAUGUCUCUGCGCUUCCAGCCUUGUCUAUCAGGUUGGAUUUUUAAAAAUGGACAACCAACGCAGGAAGUCAGAAGGAGGGAGGAGAGUGAAAUCAGGGCAUUUGCUCUGACAGCCCCACUAGGAUGCCUGGGCUGGCUGUGCCCCUCGGUUGAAUUUUAUUGUUCCUCCCAAGUCCAUUGAUUCUAUAGGACUCUUUCCUCCCAGAUUCGAGUAAUUAGUCUUUCUCCUCCUGCCUGUGAUCUCCAACCCCCUCCACAUUAUGGCAUUAUCCUUCUUGGUUCCUCUAUUUCCACUCUCUGUAAAUAACCCUUCGAUAAACAAACAGUCCAUGUGAUGUAUCCUAUUUUGAACGUGUUCAUGGAUUUCUGUUGGAAUCUGGUGGGUAUGGUAAAAUAUGAUUAAAUGUAUUGACAUUAAACAA